UACGGAGGGUGCAAGCGUUAUCCGGAUUCACUGGGUUUAAAGGGUGCGUAGGUGGGUUGGUAAGUCAGUGGUGAAAUCUCCGAGCUUAACUUGGAAACUGCCAUUGAUACUAUCAGUCUUGAAUACCGUGGAGGUCAGCGGAAUAUGUCAUGUAGCGGUGAAAUGCUUAGAUAUGACAUAGAACACCAAUUGCGAAGGCAGCUGGCUACUCGGAUAUUGACACUGAGGCACGAAAGCGCGGGGAUCAAACAGG
rnacentral:rRNA from 1 species